UACGUAGGGUGCAAGCGUUAAUCGGAAUUACUGGGCGUAAAGCGUGCGCAGGCGGUGAUGUAAGACAGAUGUGAAAUCCCCGGGCUCAACCUGGGAACUGCAUUUGUGACUGCAUCGCUGGAGUGCGGCAGAGGGGGAUGGAAUUCCGCGUGUAGCAGUGAAAUGCGUAGAUAUGCGGAGGAACACCGAUGGCGAAGGCGGCUACCUGGACCGGUUCUGACGCUGAUGCGCGAAAGCGUGGGGAGCAAACAGG
rnacentral:rRNA from 1 species